UGGGGAAUCUUGCGCAAUGCGCGAAAGCGUGACGCAGCAACGCCGCGUGGGGGAAGAAGGCCUUCGGGUUGUAAACCCCUUUCAGGAGGGACGAAGGUUGGGCGGUUAAUAGCCGACCUGACUGACGGUACCUCCAGAAGAAGCCCCGGCUAACUACGUGCCAGCAGCCGCAGUAAUACGUAGGGGGCAAGCGUUGUCCGGAAUCAUUGGGCGUAAAGAGCGUGUAGGCGGUUCGGUAAGUCGGCUGUGAAAGUCCAGGGCUCAACCCUGGGAUGCCGGUCGAUACUGCCGGACUAGAGUUCGGAAGAGGCGAGUGGAAUUCCCGGUGUAGCGGUGAAAUGCGCAGAUAUCGGGAGGAACACCUAUGGCGAAGGCAGCUCGCUGGGACGUUACUGACGCUGAGACGCGAAAGCGUGGGGAGCAAACAGG
rnacentral:rRNA from 1 species